rnacentral:rRNA from 1 species
UCCUACGGGGCGCAGCAGUGGGGAAUAUUGCACAAUGGGGGGAACCCUGAUGCAGCGACGCCGCGUGAGUGAAGAAGUAUUUCGGUACGUAAAGCUCUAUCAGCAGGGAAGAAAAAAGGACGGUACCUGAGUAAGAAGCCCCGGCUAAAUACGUGCCAGCAGCCGCGGUAAUACGUAUGGGGCAAGCGUUAUCCGGAUUUACUGGGUGUAAAGGGAGCGCAGGCGGCUUGGCAAGUCUGAUGUGAAAGGCUGGGGCUCAACCCCAGGACUGCAUUGGAAACUGUUAGGCUAGAGUGUCGGAGAGG